GAGUUUGAUCCUGGCUCAGAACGAACGCUGGCGGCAGGCUUAACACAUGCAAGUCGAACGGUUGUAGCAAUACAGCAGUGGCAGACGGGUGAGUAACACGUGGGAACCUUCCUAGGGGUACGGAACAACUCAGGGAAACUUGAGCUAAUACCGUAUACGUCCGUGAGGAGAAAGAUUUAUCGCCCUUAGACGGGCCCGCGUAGGAUUAGGUAGUUGGUGAGGUAACGGCUCACCAAGCCUACGAUCCUUAGCUGAUCUGAGAGGAUGAUCAGCCACACUGGGACUGAGACACGGCCCAGACUCCUACGGGAGGCAGCAGUGGGGAAUCUUGGACAAUGGGCGCAAGCCUGAUCCAGCCAUGCCGCGUGAGUGAAGAAGGCCUUCGGGUUGUAAAGCUCUUUUACCAGGGACGAUAAUGACGGUACCUGGAGAAUAAGCCCCGGCAAACUUCGUGCCAGCAGCCGCGGUAAUACGAAGGGGGCUAGCGUUGUUCGGAAUUACUGGGCGUAAAGCGCACGUAGGCGGAUUGUUAAGUCAGAGGUGAAAUCCCGGAGCUCAACUUCGGAACUGCCUUUGAUACUGGCAAUCUAGAGUCCGGAAGAGGUUAGUGGAAUUCCCAGUGUAGAGGUG
rnacentral:rRNA from 1 species